AGGACGAACGCUGGCGGCGUGCUUAACACAUGCAAGUCGAGCGGAAAGGCCCUUCGGGGUACUCGAGCGGCGAACGGGUGAGUAACACGUGAGCAACCUGCCCUUAGCUCCGGGAUAGCUCCGGGAAACCGGAAUUAAUACCGGAUACGACCACGGCCGACAUCUGCUGUGGUGGAAAGGAUUCCGGCUAAGGAUGGGCUCGCGGCCUAUCAGCUAGUUGGUGGAGUAACGGCCCACCAAGGCGACGACGGGUAGCCGGCCUGAGAGGGCGACCGGCCACACUGGGACUGAGACACGGCCCAGACUCCUACGGGAGGCAGCAGUUGGGAAUAUUGCGCAAUGGGCGAAAGCCUGACGCAGCGACGCCGCGUGGGGGAUGAAGGCCUUCGGGUUGUAAACCCCUUUCAGCAGGGACGAAGCGAAAGUGACGGUACCUGCAGAAGAAGCGCCGGCUAACUACGUGCCAGCAGCCGC
rnacentral:rRNA from 1 species